AUGGCAGUGGAAUCACGCGUUACCCAGAGGAAAUUAAGAAGGAGCCAGAGAAGGCGAUCCGAGAGAAGACCUGCCCGCUCCUGCUCCGGUCUUAACCAACAACUGCAGCCACCACCGAAUGGACGGGUUCUCCUGUGGGAACGUGCCUUUGAGCGAGCCGCAGAUCUACGCCUGGAUGGAUGCAACCUUGAAAGAACUGACUAGUUUAGUGAAGGAAGUCUACCCAGAAGCCAGAAAGAAGGGCACCCACUUCAAUUUUGCAAUUGUUUUUAUGGAUCUUAAAAGACCUGGAUCGAGUUAAGGAGACUAGCAGCACCAUGUCUCGAAGGAAAGGCACUGAUGACUCCAUGACCCUGCAGUCACAGAAGUUCCAAAUAGGGGAUUAUCUGGGCAUAGCCAUCAUGCCUCCAAAUUGGGCACCACCUUCGUCAGGGAGGAUGAGA
rnacentral:lncRNA from 1 species